rnacentral:lncRNA from 1 species
AGGGGAGAACCAGCAGGAAAGUACACUUUGUUUUUUUUUACUAAUUACUCAGAGAUACUGUAGAUAGAGCUAGAGGCACCAUAUUUUAUGACAAACAACUUAUACAUGUCCUCUACCAUUAGCAAAUGUAAUUUAAUUUCUAGGGUAAAUGAGUUGAAAUCAAAUAGACCGAGAACAGAACUAGCGCAACCUUACUUUUGUACCUGCAGGCAGGGUGGGAGUAACACAGCCUUGGGAUGGAAGUAACAGCUGAUGAGAAGUGCACAAUAUCUUAUCUCCACGUUUCUGAGCACCACAGAAGGAUUCUGCCAUAGUACCACACUAUCUACUGUCUAGAUUCUACACAAUCAAGAGACACUCAGUACAGAGACUGACAAUUGCUCAGUCACAUUGAAGAACAUUAUCUUCUAAUUUAACAACCAGACCAAGAGAACAUGAGUCUAAUGCAGAGUAAGGAAGAAAGAGAGAGUAAGUUAUAUGACUUGCUCAGCAAAUAUGAAAAUUUCCCUGAUGUGAGAAAAGACACAACUCUGCAGAAGUUUUCCGGUCAGAGUUCCUUGGAGAAUCUAAACAAAGACUACAAAAAGAGAGAGCUGGAACGGGGAGAAAAUGCUGCAACCUGGCUGAAGGAUCUGGGGGAAAAACUUGUAGGAUUGUCUGAGGUAGACAAUGCAGCAGGCAUAGGAACCAUGGUUCUCUCUAUAUUGAUAGACAUUGUUGUUGCUAAUUACAAGACCCCUGAGGAUAGCACAGAGGACAUGCUGUGCCGUGUGUUUGCCGAAGAGAAAGCGUCCAUAGUACGAGACAAAAUCGAUGCGUAUCUCAAGAGGCACCUGAUGCACAUACUGUACGCUAUGAGGCUGAGCUUGAGAAUGAUAUCAUGCACUUUGAGCGCAACCUGAGCCUAGCACUGAUAAUGUUAAAUAACUCAAUGUUGAAGGACGGACAGAUGAGCUCGCAGGCUUUUAAGAUCCACGUCUAAAUGCUGAUUCACCUGGCCAGCCUGAAACUGAAAGACAGCGGCCCAGUGAGGACAAUCAUUAACAUCUACCAGAGAAAUCUGGAGGAGGUGAUACAUGAAUACAAGAAAUACAAAG